AACGCGAAGAACCUUACCACCCCUUGACAUCCUCGGAACUUGGCAGAGAUGCCUUGGUGCCUUCGGGAACCGAGUGACAGGUGCUGCAUGGCUGUCGUCAGCUCGUGUCGUGAGACGUUGGGUUAAGUCCCGUAACGAGCGCAACCCUUGUCCUUAUUUGCCAGCGGGUAAUGCCGGGAACUCUAAGGAGACUGCCGGUGACAAACCGGAGGAAGGUGGGGAUGACGUCAAGUCAUCAUGGCCCUCACGGGGUGGGCUACAAACGUGCUACAAUGGGCGGUACAAAGGGUUGCUAUCCCGCGAGGGGGAGCGAAUCCCAAAAAACCGCUCGUAGUCCAGAUUGGAGUCUGCAACUCGACUCCAUGAAGUCGGAAUCGCUAGUAAUCGCGAAUCAGCAUGUCGCGGUGAAUACGUUCCCGGGUCUUGUACACACCG
rnacentral:rRNA from 1 species